CAGUCGCCACGGUAAUACGUAGGGUGCAAGCGUUAUCCGGAAUUAUUGGGCGUAAAGAGCUCGUAGGCGGUUUGUCGCGUCUGUCGUGAAAGUCCGGGGCUCAACUCCGGAUCUGCGGUGGGUACGGGCAGACUAGAGUGAUGUAGGGGAGACUGGAAUUCCUGGUGUAGCGGUGGAAUGCGCAGAUAUCAGGAGGAACACCGAUGGCGAAGGCAGGUCUCUGGGCAUUAACUGACGCUGAGGAGCGAAAGCAUGGGGAGCGAACAGGAUUAGAUACCCGAGUAGUCCCUGUCUCUUAUAC
rnacentral:rRNA from 1 species